rnacentral:rRNA from 1 species
CAGACGGUUANUUAAGCAGGAUGUGAAAUCCCCGGGCUCAACCUGGGAACUGCGUUNUGAACUGGGUGACUAGAGUGUGUCAGAGGGAGGUAGAAUNCCACGUGUAGCAGUGAAAUGCGUAGAGAUGUGGAGGAAUACCGAUGGCGAAGGCAGCCUCCUGGGAUANCACUGACGUUCAUGCCCGAAAGCGUGGGUAGCAAACAGGAUUAGAUACCCUGGUAGUCCACGCCCUAAACGAUGUCGAUUAGCUGUUGGGCAGCAUGACUGCUUGGUAGCGAAGCUAACGCGUGAAAUCGACCGCCUGGGGAGUACGGUCGCAAGAUUAAAACUCAAAGGAAUUGACGGGGACCCGCACAAGCGGUGGAUGAUGUGGAUUAAUUCGAUGCAACGCGAAGAACCUUACCUGGUCUUGACAUGUACGGAACCCUUCAGAGACGGAGGGGUGCCUUCGGGAGCCGUAACACAGGUGCUGCAUGGCUGUCGUCAGCUCGUGUCGUGAGAUGUUGGGUUAAGUCCCGCAACGAGCGCAACCCUUGUCAUUAGUUGCCAUCAUUAAGUUGGGCACUCUAAUGAGACUGCCGGUGACAAGCCGGAGGAAGGUGGGGAUGACGUCAAGUCCUCAUGGCCCUUAUGACCAGGGCUUCACACGUCAUACAAUGGUCGGUACAGAGGGUAGCCAAGCCGCGAGGUGGAGCCAAUCUCACAAAACCGAUCGUAGUCCGGAUUGCACUCUGCAACUCGAGUGCAUGAAGUCGGAAUCGCUAGUAAUCGCAGGUCAGCAUACUGCGGUGAAUACGUUCCCGGGUCUUGUACACACCGCCCGUCACACCAUGGGAGUGGGGGAUACCAG